UUUAAUUUUGAAUUUGGGGACCAAAUUCCUUUUUUUGGUGGUAAUGAUGUAGCGUCCCUAAAAAUUUCUCGUGGGCCUUAAACCCGAACUCAACUCAUUUGAGUGGGAAGCUAGAGUUUUGUAGUGCGCGCGUGAUCAAAAUGUCGGGUGCGUAUAGCAGCAGAGAGUGCCCUAUACCAAGUUUGGGUGUUCUUAGCUAAAUGGUUGUCCCCUUAGUGAAAUUAAUGUGCCUAAUUAGUAGGUGUUGUAGAAAGCUUUAGAAAAUAAUUGAGCAUGCUUGACACGUUUCGGACAUGAGCAGCUAGCUAGGGAGAUUUUUUGUCUCUUUAUUUUCUUUUCAAAAUUAAAUCCUGGAAACAAGUCUUAUUUCUUCUCUUACCUUGUUAUUUCACCAUUUUUCUUCCCCACAUUCUACUGAUUUUCAAGACAAACCUCAAACAAAAAGAAACGUUAUUGAUUUUCAAGUGCAAAUUCUAGCUCAACCCACACUCCAAAUUUAGCUGAAUUUGGGUUCUACAAAGUUGUCUUCCUAUCCUGGAAUGUACUUGUGAAUGUUACAAUUAAUCAUUUACGCAAAGAUAGAAAGCAAGACGACUCUACUUUAGAAAUGUCAGGCCCAUUGGGGCCCCCCACUUACGAGUGGCAACCCGGAAGACUGUUAGCUGUAACGGUAGCUGGUAUCUGACUACCCUGACAUCGGCGCUGGCCAAAACAAUAGUAGAGUCACUUAAAGUACGAGAGGAGCUUGCAACAGUAAGCCGGGAAGAGCUUACGACAGACUUUUAACGCUAUGAAAGUUAGUAUUUUGUCAAGCUUAUGAUGAUAUCGUAUAUCAGGGGCUGCCGGUGUGGUUUCUUUACAAAUAUCCAUGUCUAUUUUUCUUGUCGUUCUUUUUGGAUACUACCAUGUUUUUGAUGUGUAUAGUGACUAUUUAUUUUGCAACGAAAUGAUAUGUUUGGAUUAAGUUUGUAAAGUUUAAGGUCUGUUUAGAUUCGGUGUAUAUAGAACCUCUUUUGGAACUUACAAUUCUUAGAACGUUAAUGUAUUAGCAUGCUUCAAUAUGCAAGUUAAUUUCUUUUUUUGGA